rnacentral:rRNA from 1 species
AGAUUGAACGCUGGCGGCAUGCUUUACACAUGCAAGUCGAGCGGCAGCGCGGGGCAACCUGGCGGCGAGCGGCGAACGGGUGAGUAAUAGAUAGGAACGUGUCCGGGAGUGGGGGAUAACUAGCCGAAAGGUUAGCUAAUACCGCAUAUUCUCCAAGGAGGAAAGCGGGGGACCAGAAAUGGCCUCGCGCUCGCGGAGUGGCCUAUCUCCGAUUAGCUAGUUGGUGAGGUAAAGGCUCACCAAGGCGACGAUCGGUAGCUGGUCUGAGAGGAUGAUCAGCCACACUGGGACUGAGACACGGCCCAGACUCCUACGGGAGGCAGCAGUGGGAAUUUUGGACAAUGGGGGCAACCCUGAUCCAGCCAUGCCGCGUGCGGGAAGAAAGGCCGUUCGGUUGGUAACCGUACGUUUAAUUACGGUAAAGAAGGAGGUAGGAGGUUAAUACCGUACCUAUGAACGAGGUACCGGUAUAGAAUAAGUACACCGGACUAACACGUA